rnacentral:rRNA from 1 species
AACGAACGCUGGCGGCGUGCCUAACACAUGCAAGUCGAGCGCGAAAGGAGCAAUCCGAGUAGAGCGGCGCACGGGUGCGUAACACGUGGAUAAUCUGCCUCAGGGUUGCGGAUAACCUUCCGAAAGGUUGGCUAAUACUCGGUAAGCUUACGGUGACUUCGGUCGCUGUGAGAAAACUAGACCUCUAUUUAUAAGUUUAGGCCAAGAGAUGAGUCCGCGGCCCAUCAGCUAGUUGGCGGGGUAACGGCCCACUAAGGCUACGACGGGUAGCUGGUCUGAGAGGACGAUCAGCCCAACUGGAACUGAGACACGGUCCAGACUCCUACGGGAGGCAGCAGUGGGGAAUUUUGGACAAUGGGCGAAAGCCUGACGCAGCAACGCCGCGUGGAGGAUGAAGGUCUUCGGAUUGUAAACUCCUGUCAGUGGGGAAAAAGGGGAACGUGCUCAUACCACGUUUCAUUGAUUGUACCCGCAGAGGAAGCCCCGGCUAACUCCGUGCCAGCCGCCGCGGUAA